GAUGAACGCUAGCGGCAGGCUUAACACAUGCAAGUCGAGGGGUAACAUUGUAGCUUGCUACAGAUGACGACCGGCGAACGGGUGCGUAACGCGUAUAGAAUCUGCCUUGUACAGGAGGAUAGCCUUUAGAAAUGAAGAUUAAUACUCCAUAAUGUUGGUGAGUGGCAUCGCUUACUAAUUAAAGAUUUAUCGGUACAAGAUGACUAUGCGUCCUAUUAGCUAGAUGGUGAGGUAACGGCUUACCAUGGCAACGAUAGGUAGGGGGUCUGAGAGGAUUAUCCCCCACACUGGUACUGAGACACGGACCAGACUCCUACGGGAGGCAGCAGUGAGGAAUAUUGGUCAAUGGAGGCAACUCUGAACCAGCCAUGCCGCGUGCAGGAAGACUGCCCUAUGGGUUGUAAACUGCUUUUAUACAGGAAGAAACCUUAGUACGUGUGCUAAGCUGACGGUACUGUAAGAAUAAGCACCGGCUAACUCCG
rnacentral:rRNA from 1 species